GCCUUCGUGGUAUAACGGUAGCACACCCGGCACGUAUUCCAGAGGUCCAGGUUCGAAUCCCGGCGAGGGCA
rnacentral:tRNA from 1 species